CCUACGGGAGGCUGCAGUAGGGAAUUUUUCACAAUGGGCGAAAGCCUGAUGGAGCAACGCCGCGUGCAGGAUGAAGGCCUUCUGGUUGGAAACUGCUUUUAUAAGCGAGAAAUAUGCUGGUAACUUAUGAAUAAGGAACGGCUAACAACGUGCCAGCAGCCGCGGUCAUACGUAGGAUCCGAGCAUUAUCCGGAGUGACUGGGUGUAAAGAGUUGCGUAGGUGGCAUAAUAAGUAGCUAGUGAAAUCUGGUGGCGCAACCAUUCAGACUAUUAGCUAAACUGUUAAGCUCGAGACCGUUAGAGGUAACUGGAAUGUCUGGUGUAGGAGUGAAAUCCGUAGAUAUUA
rnacentral:rRNA from 1 species